GGUAAACUGGACUACUACGGACUGGGAGACUAGUGAGGUUAGGAGGUGAGGAGCCUGAUAAAGGCAACAUUGCUUUAUACUCCUGAUAAAAUGCAACAUUGACGGCAACAGCAACACGGUUAGUUAAAAUAGAAAGCAUUUUACCCGCAGUGUACUUCAAAAAGGAAAGUUCAUAAUGUAUCAUUUCCUUCGGGACUGCUUUCAAGGUGAUGGAUUCUAGUAAUCUGAGGUGAAGGAAUGGAUUUCCAACUUUAGUUUUUGGAGACCGAAGUGAAAAUAACGUUAUCCUCUUGACUACUGGACAGUGCUACAUGGGUCACUCCUGAGGAAUGUCUACCCUUGGACUAGUGAAAACAGCUAAUGUAAGACAGGCUUCUCUAACCACUGGACAGCUUCCUGUUACUCUUUGCUAUGGGCUUCAAGUUGCUAUUGCUAAUGGCUCAAUUGGUCCUGCCCUUGACUUGAUACCUGAAGUACCAUAAUCAGGCAGACCCUAGGGAAGGAUUACUGGUGGGCACUACAGACAAGAGAGAAAUUGAAAACCUGGAUGAGCAGGAUCUGAGUUUGAUCAAAAGAAUCUGUUUCCAAAACAGGAUCGUGAAACUUGAGAGGAAAGUAGAAGGGAGUGAGGUCAAGUCCCUUCUAUAAAUGGUUUCCAUUGUAACCCCGGGCACAGUAGGUGAUGUUAAUAAGUUGUCCAGUAACUUCCCAUUUGAACACGUUUUUCCACUUACCCUCACUUCUUCAAACAAAACAAAGCAAGCAAGCAAACACUCAAGCAACGAUAUAAAACAGAAAAGCUUUCGGAUUGAAAACAAGGUGCUAAGAGCAAGAUACAGUCUUUACAGUCAAAUGAAAGAUUAUUAAAAAUGCUUCAGUGUGCUAAUGGUACCUUAUGUUUGCUUAUAAACCUU